UUAUACCCCCGCUUUAAAAAGGGGGGGGGUAUACUGUUUUACCUCUGUCUGUCAGUCCGUCCGUCAGUCCGUCCGUCCAUCAGUCCGUCAGUCCAUCAGUCCGUCAGUCAGUCCGUCCCAUGAAACUUUCGUCACAUUUUUCUCAGGAACUACACAUCCACAUUUUUCUCAGGAACUACACAUCCACCCUUUCUGUAAUUUGGUAUCAACAUUUAUAUAUGUCAGCCAUACCGUGUGAUGCGUUUUCAGAUUCAUCACUUGACAACUUCCUGUUUACCGAACACUUGUCUGAUUUUACACAUGAUAGCCAAGUUGAAAAUUUUCGUCACAUUUUUCUCAGGAACUACAAUACAAGGAUUUCUGAAAUUUGGUUUCAGGAUUUAUAUAAGUCAGCUACACCGUGUGAUGCGUUUUCAGAUUCAUCACUCGACAACUUCCUGUUUACCGAACACUUGCAUAUUUUUACACUAUUAAUAUUAUCCACUUGCGGCGAGGG
rnacentral:lncRNA from 1 species